rnacentral:rRNA from 1 species
AUUGAACGCUGGCGGCAGGCCUAACACAUGCAAGUCGAACGAGUGGCGGACGGGUGAGUAAUGUCUGGGAAACUGCCUGAUGGAGGGGGAUAACUACUGGAAACGGUAGCUAAUACCGCAUACCAUCAGAUGUUCCCAGGUGGGAUUAGCUGGUUGGGGGGGUAACGGGUCACCACGGCGACGAGCCCUAGCUGGUCUGAGAGGAUGACCAGGCACACUGGAACAGAGACACGGUCCAGACUCCUACGGGAGGCAGCAGGGGGGAAUAGGGCGCAAUGGGCGCAAGCCUGAAGCAGCCAUGCCGCGUGUAUGAAGAAGGCCUUCGGGUUGUAAAGUACUUUCAGCGGGGAGGCGUUACCCGCAGAAGAAGCACCGGCUAACUCCGUGCCAGCAGCCGCGGUAAUUC